rfam:Candidatus Staskawiczbacteria bacterium RIFCSPHIGHO2_01_FTLL_34_27 rifcsphigho2_01_scaffold_1452, whole genome shotgun sequence.
GCGGGUAUCGUAUAUCGGUAUUACCUAAGAUUUCCAAUCUUAUGAGAGGGGUUCGACUCCCCUUACCCGCU